UACGGGGGGGGCAAGCGUUGUUCGGAAUUACUGGGCGUAAAGCGCACGUAGGUGGCUUUGCAAGUCGAUUGUGAAAUCCCCAGGCUUAACCUGGGAACUGCAGUCGAGACUGCUUUGCUUGAGUAUGGGAGAGGGAAGUGGAAUUUCCGGUGUAGCGGUGAAAUGCGUAGAUAUCGGAAGGAACAUCAGUGGCGAAGGCGACUUCCUGGACCAAUACUGACACUCAAGUGCGAAAGCGUGGGGAGCAAACAGG
rnacentral:rRNA from 1 species